rnacentral:rRNA from 1 species
UACGGAGGAUGCGAGCGUUAUCCGGAUUUAUUGGGUUUAAAGGGUGCGCAGGCGGAUUUUUAAGUCAGCGGUCAAAUCGUGGGGCUCAACCCCAUCCAGCCGUUGAAACUGGGGAUCUAGAGUGUGCUAGAGGUAUGCGGAAUGCGUGGUGUAGCGGUGGAAUGCAUAGAUAUCACGCAGAACCCCGAUUGCGAAGGCAGCAUACCGGUGCACAACUGACGCUCAGGCACGAAAGCGUGGGUAUCGAACAGG